UCUGGGUGCAGUGGCAUGCGUACCUGUAGUCCUGGCCACUUGGGAGACUGAGGCAGGAGGCUCACUUGAGCCCAGGAGUUCAGAGUUGUAGCCGAUUAGGUGUCUGCACUAAGCUUGCCAUCAAUAUAGUGACCUCCUGGGAGUGGAGGACGACAGGUUCCCUAAGGAGGGGUGAACUGGUCCAGGUUGGAAACAAGGGAAUGUUAAAAAUACCAUGGGCACGGUAGCUCACACCUGUAAUCCUAGCACUUUGGGAGGCUGCGGCAGGAGGAUCAAUUGAGCCCAGGAGUUGGAGAUCAGCCUGGGUAAUGCAGUGAGACCCUGUCCCU
rnacentral:SRP_RNA from 1 species